UUGGUUUUAAAGGUCUAUUGGAGAUUAUGGAGCUGUGCGACAAGUGCUUUCCCAUCGUACAUCUGUGCGGUGUGUGGCGCCUUUGGGGGGUUUAGUGCGUUCGGUUCGGGCUCCGGUCCGUCUGGGCGUAACGCCUUUUCAACU
rnacentral:rRNA from 1 species